rnacentral:rRNA from 2 species
GGUUAAGCGACUAAGCGUACACGGUGGAUGCCCUGGCAGUCAGAGGCGAUGAAGGGCGUGCUAAUCUGCGAUAAGCGCCGGUAAGGUGAUAUGAACCGUUAUAACCGGCGAUACCCGAAUGGGGAAACCCAGUGUGACUCGUCACACUAUCAUUAACUGAAUCCAUAGGUUAAUGAGGCGAACCGGGGGAACUGAAACAUCUAAGUACCCCGAGGAAAAGAAAUCAACCGAGAUUCCCCCAGUAGCGGCGAGCGAACGGGGAGGAGCCCAGAGCCUGAAUCAGCAUGUGUGUUAGUGGAAGCGUCUGGAAAGGCGCGCGAUACAGGGUGACAGCCCCGUACACAAAAGCGCAUGUGCUGUGAGCUCGAUGAGUAGGGCGGGACACGUGGUAUCCUGUCUGAAUAUGGGGGGACCAUCCUCCAAGGCUAAAUACUCCUGACUGACCGAUAGUGAACCAGUACCGUGAGGGAAAGGCGAAAAGAACCCCGGCGAGGGGAGUGAAAAAGAACCUGAAACCGUGUACGUACAAGCAGUGGGAGCACAGGUUUACCUGUGUGACUGCGUACCUUUUGUAUAAUGGGUCAGCGACUUAUAUUCUGUAGCAAGGUUAACCGAAUAGGGGAGCCGCAGGGAAACCGAGUCUUAAUUGGGCGUUAAGUUGCAGGGUAUAGACCCGAAACCCGGUGAUCUAGCCAUGGGCAGGUUGAAGGUUGGGUAACACUAACUGGAGGACCGAACCGACUAAUGUUGAAAAAUUAGCGGAUGACCUGUGGCUGGGGGUGAAAGGCCAAUCAAACCGGGAGAUAGCUGGUUCUCCCCGAAAGCUAUUUAGGUAGCGCCUCGUGAAUUCAUCUCCGGGGGUAGAGCACUGUUUCGGCUAGGGGGCCAUCCCGGCUUACCAACCCGAUGCAAACUGCGAAUACCGGAGAAUGUUAUCACGGGAGACACACGGCGGGUGCUAACGUCCGUCGUGAAGAGGGAAACAACCCAGACCGCCAGCUAAGGUCCCAAAGUCAUGGUUAAGUGGGAAACGAUGUGGGAAGGCCCAGACAGCCAGGAUGUUGGCUUAGAAGCAGCCAUCAUUUAAAGAAAGCGUAAUAGCUCACUGGUCGAGUCGGCCUGCGCGGAAGAUGUAACGGGGCUAAACCAUGCACCGAAGCUGCGGCAGCGACGCUGAUGCGUUGUUGGGUAGGGGAGCGUUCUGUAAGCCUGUGAAGGUGUGUCGUGAGGCAUGCUGGAGGUAUCAGAAGUGCGAAUGCUGACAUAAGUAACGAUAAAGCGGGUGAAAAGCCCGCUCGCCGGAAGACCAAGGGUUCCUGUCCAACGUUAAUCGGGGCAGGGUGAGUCGACCCCUAAGGCGAGGCCGAAAGGCGUAGUCGAUGGGAAACGGGUUAAUAUUCCCGUACUUGGUGUUACUGCGAAGGGGGGACGGAGAAGGCUAUGUUGGCCGGGCGACGGUUGUCCCGGUUUAAGCGUGUAGGUGUGUGUUCCAGGUAAAUCCGGUUCACUUUAACACUGAGGCGUGAUGACGAGGCACUACGGUGCUGAAGCAACAAAUGCCCUGCUUCCAGGAAAAGCCUCUAAGCAUCAGGUAACAUCAAAUCGUACCCCAAACCGACACAGGUGGUCAGGUAGAGAAUACCAAGGCGCUUGAGAGAACUCGGGUGAAGGAACUAGGCAAAAUGGUGCCGUAACUUCGGGAGAAGGCACGCUGACACGUAGGUGAAGUGAUUUACUCACGGAGCUGAAGUCAGUCGAAGAUACCAGCUGGCUGCAACUGUUUAUUAAAAACACAGCACUGUGCAAACACGAAAGUGGACGUAUACGGUGUGACGCCUGCCCGGUGCCGGAAGGUUAAUUGAUGGGGUCAGCGCAAGCGAAGCUCCUGAUCGAAGCCCCGGUAAACGGCGGCCGUAACUAUAACGGUCCUAAGGUAGCGAAAUUCCUUGUCGGGUAAGUUCCGACCUGCACGAAUGGCGUAAUGAUGGCCAGGCUGUCUCCACCCGAGACUCAGUGAAAUUGAACUCGCUGUGAAGAUGCAGUGUACCCGCGGCAAGACGGAAAGACCCCGUGAACCUUUACUAUAGCUUGACACUGAACAUUGAGCCUUGAUGUGUAGGAUAGGUGGGAGGCUUUGAAGUGUGGACGCCAGUCUGCAUGGAGCCGACCUUGAAAUACCACCCUUUAAUGUUUGAUGUUCUAACGUGGACCCGUAAUCCGGGUUGCGGACAGUGUCUGGUGGGUAGUUUGACUGGGGCGGUCUCCUCCUAAAGAGUAACGGAGGAGCACGAAGGUUGGCUAAUCCUGGUCGGACAUCAGGAGGUUAGUGCAAUGGCAUAAGCCAGCUUGACUGCGAGCGUGACGGCGCGAGCAGGUGCGAAAGCAGGUCAUAGUGAUCCGGUGGUUCUGAAUGGAAGGGCCAUCGCUCAACGGAUAAAAGGUACUCCGGGGAUAACAGGCUGAUACCGCCCAAGAGUUCAUAUCGACGGCGGUGUUUGGCACCUCGAUGUCGGCUCAUCACAUCCUGGGGCUGAAGUAGGUCCCAAGGGUAUGGCUGUUCGCCAUUUAAAGUGGUACGCGAGCUGGGUUUAGAACGUCGUGAGACAGUUCGGUCCCUAUCUGCCGUGGGCGCUGGAGAACUGAGGGGGGCUGCUCCUAGUACGAGAGGACCGGAGUGGACGCAUCACUGGUGUUCGGGUUGUCAUGCCAAUGGCAUUGCCCGGUAGCUAAAUGCGGAAGAGAUAAGUGCUGAAAGCAUCUAAGCACGAAACUUGCCCCGAGAUGAGUUCUCCCUGAGACUUUAAGUCUCCUGAAGGAACGUUGAAGACGACGACGUUGAUAGGCCGGGUGUGUAAGCGCAGCGAUGCGUUGAGCUAACCGGUACUAAUGAACCGUGAGGCUUAACCUU